rnacentral:rRNA from 1 species
GACGAACGCUGGCGGCGUGCCUAAUACAUGCAAGUUGAGCGCUGAAGGUUGGUACUUGUACCGACUGGAUGAGCAGCGAACGGGUGAGUAACGCGUGGGGAAUCUGCCUUUGAGCGGGGGACAACAUUUGGAAACGAAUGCUAAUACCGCAUAAAAACUUUAAACGCAAGUUUUAAGUUUGAAAGAUGCAAUUGCAUCACUCAAAGAUGAUCCCGCGUUGUAUUAGCUAGUUGGUGAGGUAAAGGCUCACCAAGGCGAUGAUACAUAGCCGACCUGAGAGGGUGAUCGGCCACAUUGGGACUGAGACACGGCCCAAACUCCUACGGGAGGCAGCAGUAGGGAAUCUUCGGCAAUGGACGAAAGUCUGACCGAGCAACGCCGCGUGAGUGAAGAAGGUUUUCGGAUCGUAAAACUCUGUUGGUAGAGAAGAACGUUGGUGAGAGUGGAAAGCUCAUCAAGUGACGGUAACUACCCAGAAAGGGACGGCUAACUACGUG